AUACGGAGGAUGCAAGCGUUAUCCGGAUUUAUUGGGUUUAAAGGGUGCGUAGGCUGUGGGGAAAGUCAGGGGUGAAAGCCCGGCGCUUAACGCCGGAACUGCCUUUGAUACUUCUCCGCUGGAAUACGGAUGCCGUGGGAGGAAUGAGUAGUGUAGCGGUGAAAUGCAUAGAUAUUACUCAGAACACCGAUUGCGAAGGCAUCUCACGAAUCCGUCAUUGACGCUGAGGCACGAAAGCGUGAGAGUCAAACAGUAUUAGAUACCCUGGUAGACCAAGCAGUAAACGAUGAUAACUAACCCACGGCGAUACACAGUCGGUGGCCAAGCGAAAGCGAUAAGUUAUCCACCUGGGGAGUACGUUCGCAAGAAUGAAACUCAAAUGAAUUGACGGGG
rnacentral:rRNA from 1 species